AUGGGCAGAGCAAACACGUUGAUGCAUCUCCGGAGAUCUGCUAGGGGGGUGGAGAGUACUACCGGGCUCUGCAAAUUGAUCCUAGGAAGAGAAGCUGGGUCGCAGCCCUGGGUUGAUCAAAAGACUAAGAGUGGCAGUAUUGGGAAGAAGGCAGUGGUGGAUUCAUCGUCGUCAUAUUCUUGCUGCUGGGUUCCGCACCCGAGGACUGGAAUUUAUUUCCCUGUAGGCCAUGACUGGGUAAUGGAAGAUGUUCCUGAAGGCGCUGCCACGUUCUCUGAGACCUGUUACUUCAGAAAUUAA